GCGCACGGCUAGCGGGGCCCUCGCGCCGCCGGCUCGCGACUAGCGGGGUCCCGACCCGGUCGUCCCGAUCGGCCCCGUGCGCG
rnacentral:tRNA from 1 species